GUAGGUGGCAAGCGUUGUCCGGAAUUAUUGGGCGUAAAGCGCGCGCAGGCGGUUCUUUAAGUCUGAUGUGAAAGCCCACGGCUCAACCGUGGAGGGUCAUUGGAAACUGGAGAACCUGAGUACAGAAGAGGAAAGCGGAAUUCCACGUGUAGCGGUGAAAUGCGUAGAGAUGUGGAGGAACACCAGUGGCGAAGGCGGCUUUCUGGUCUGUAACUGACGCUGAGGCGCGAAAGCGUGGGGAGCAAACAGGGAUUAGAUACCCUGGUAGUCCACGCCGUAAACGAUGAGUGCUAAGUGUUAGGGGGGUUUUCCGCCCCCCUUAGUGCUGCAGCUAACGCAUUAAGCACUCCGCCUGGGAGUACGGCCGCAAGGCUG
rnacentral:rRNA from 1 species